ACUUCCUCCGUCAACUCCAGUUUGAGGAAAGGCAAAGGAAAGGCAAACUCUGAUCCCUGGAUCAUAUGUAACAAAGGCGCUGCAGAAAUGCAGUUGCUGGCAGUGUAACUCACUAGAAAACUAAGGUUUCAGCCAAGUUUUCCAUCCUGUUCAGUGUCUCCUGUGUACUCUUCAAGAACUCCUCAUGCUCUCUAAUGAACUGAAGUAUAGAAAAUCUCCUCCAGUCCUUCUCUUCUAACAGAGUGACCAGCUCUUACACUUGCUGCAGAUGUAGUCUAUGAUGCUUGGGACUUAUGUAGUCCCAAUGGCAGCAGAAUUCUGUUCCCCUGCCCCACAAUCAUGCCUGAGUGUUUUGUUUUGUUUUAAACUCAUCUUCUGUC